rnacentral:lncRNA from 1 species
GGCCUCAUCACUGAUAAAAGCUCUGAGGGAAUGAGGCUUGCUCAAAUUGGUAAGACUUUGCAGUUCUGAGUCUCAUAAAAACCUAGUAUAGAAGAAAUCAGGGGACAUUUUAGCUGCUCAAAAGAAACAAUAUUCCUACUGCCUGUUUUUUUGCAAAUAUUUAUAAACUGGUGCAAAAACUAAGGGGAACAGUGAAAAAUAUGUUAGUGCAGAAGCCAUGCCUUUUCCUCCUGUUUUUUCCCACCUCUAUUUUAAGUCCUUAUCCAAAAUAUGAAGGCAAGAAGGCAUUUCAGCAGAAGGGUUUCCAGUUCUGGAAUAAGGACAAAACAAAGUGUUUUCUCCUACCCAGUCUUAGGAACUAAAGAUCAGAUAUUUUUUCUGAAGGUUUUGAUGCAACACAAACAUAAAUCAGCCUGGCAGCAAAAAAAUUGAUGGGGAAACAAGAGCAAAAGUUUCAUAGCAGCAAAGGAAAGAGGAAAGUGGUGUAUAGUAGGAAGUGCAGGCCAGCUUUAGCAUUAGGAAGUACUGUUAACCCCUUCUACAUUUGUAGUACAUAGAUCAAAUGUGACAUUAGCAUGGAUGACACACAAAGGUUCAUCUACUUAACUCAUUGCUUUGGGAAUUGAAUUUAAAUCUUGGCUCUUCAAAGUUUUGGAUAAACCUUGACUCCUGCACAGAACUCUGGCUCAAUGAGGCUGUGGAGACCUGCCUGCCCAAACCACCUACAGGAUGAAAACCUCAUCAAAGGCAGCAUGUUCCAGGUGGAGGGAGGAAAUUUCAGACUGCACUUCUAUUGUUGAGCAAAUCUAUCCCUCAAAAGGAACCUUGAAAAGUCAAGGGUCAAGAGGGAACUCUCUAUUGCAUGUCAUAACUCACACUCUAGAAAACUAAAACCUGGGCCAAGGUACAUGAACAGAGGGAAAAGAUCUAUGACUGACUGACAGAAAACACCCAAAAAGCUAGCUCAGAGGGGCCCAGGAUUUUGUCACAGUGACUGACAUUCUGCCUACUUGGAAGGAAAUUAAUUAGAGGGGAAUGAAGAGCAUAUGUUGUCAAGUGGGUGUAAAUCAAACUAAGCAAACAAAGGAGUACAGGGAGAACUCAGGCUGACAUCAAGGCUGAGAGAGAAGAAAAGGCUGGAAGCAGAAACAGCCACAGAGACUUUUAGACAUAUUUUCUUCAAAUCUGCUUAUAUUUCCACACACUGAUGAAAAGUUGGGAGAAGGUAGCAGCAACCAAUGCACCCAAGAAGGGAAAUUUCUCGCACAAUACUCACAAAUUGGUUCCAGUGUUCAGGAUUAUUUAUCUGGUCCUGACUGGCGCUGCUUCUGCAAACAUGUACCACCUCACAGGAAUGGAACAGUGCAUUGUACAUUCUAAGUCCUGUGAGUACCUGUGCCUACAAAAGCAGCCUUGCUUUUGUACCAAGGAAAAGCAUACAAGGCUUUUCAAUUUUCAAUUUAGCUUAUUCUUUAGUUACUCCAUAAAGCCCAAAGUGGUUUUUCUCAUUGUUGUUUAUAGCCUUCCCAGAUCUUCUAGCCACAAACACAUAAUUUAUCUAAGCCACACAUAAACAACUGUGAUUUACGUCAACUUUUCAUUCAAUGGAAAGCACAUGAAAGAACUACUUUCCUUCUGUGUGUUACUUGCCUGCAAGGACUGGAGCAUGUCUUUCCAAAUUCCUGGCGGUAAACCCAAGCAGUUGUCAAAGCUUGGUCCAUAUUUGGCAUUUUAAGAACUUCCUAUUAGUUUUUUUCCAUUACAGAAUCAUUCAGUCACUGUAUGGCACAUCUCUGUACCAGACAAGCGAAAGAACUUUAUGACCCCUGAAAAAGGCAGACCCUAACUGGCCUUGAUGUCAACCUCUUGUCAGAGUGCAAGACAUUUCUAUGGCAGUUGCCAUACAAACUUGUAUGACACCAAAGUGAAUGGAGUUACAAUUCAGCUUGUUAUUCUUUAAGUGAAUAAUGAUUAAGGGUCACCAUCUCAGUGACAAGAAAACUCAUGCCAAGAUGGUUAAAAGCUGAAUCAACAAAAACAGUCACAUGAAACCCAUUAAAUAAACUUUGCUGCAGUAUACAGAAAUAAAUAAAACACCACUCCUUCUGCUUUUUAAAAUCAGGGUUGGUCUCAGGCAAGAACACACAGUACACUUGUAUCUCUGGCAGCAUGCCCUGUACCAGAAGUAAUUGAAAUUCUCCAAAAUCCCCUCCUCCCAUCUAAGACCUGGCAAGGAACAAACACAGUAUUGAUUGCCCUAUCUGAGGACUGGCUGACAGGCCUCCCUGCCCAGUGUGAUUCAGAGAUCUGCAGCAGCUAUUUUAAGAUUAGCAGACCAUUCUCUAAGGAGUGUGUCUUCCUGAUCUCUCUUCUGACAGGGUGAGCACUCCUCACUGGGCUACUGGUGAAAAACAGCUCAAAUCAGUGUUAUUCCAGAGAGUGCCCUAAAACAGCCUCAGCUCAGAUGGAGCACACCCUGACCUGAUAACCCUCAACAUCUCACAUCCAUAAAGGCACUAGGAUGUUUAGCUGGCACUGCCCUCACCACCUGCUGCCCCAGACAUACCUCUGUACUGACCCCAUAGCACUAAUAAAUGUCAAAUAUUGGCAAUCUUUGCUCAGCAGUUGUUGAAAGAAUAUGCUGCAUGCCACUGUGCUUACACCUGUAUCUGCUGCUCUUUAUGCUGCAAUGAAGAGGCAGCAUUUCAGACCUGUUGUUAGGCAGAUUUGCCUUGCUCCUUGGCAUAUGUCCAUAAGAACUACCAUUUCGUGGAUAAAUGCAUGAUUCCUUCAAAAACUGGAAAAGGCAACCAAGUACAUUAACACCUGGUAUUUCAAGCAGAGCAAGUCUGUGAUCUAAGACACUAAGACUGAUUUUGAGACCAUGCAACAUAAAUUACAUAGGGCUCUAGAGCUGGCAUCACUGGCAAGAAACCCAGAAGCUGCAUCUGAGACCAUUUGCUAGACCAAGUAUCAGAUCCUCCUGAUAUUUGUCUUUCAGCACCAGCCACCUUCCCCAUUCUCUAGGGUUUCACUCUUGUUAAGAGAAGAGCAAUGUGGCACAGCUGGAGACUUGAAAUCCCCAAUAUACCUUACCAGUCAACAGUUAGAUUAGGGUAAAUUCACCACAGGGACUUUUCCUAGGAGGCAUUUCUCUUCUAAGGAUGAAGGAAUUCACAUGUCCAAUUGCUGCAGUCUGUAUGGAAGCGCUGAUUAUUAUACUAUGAUAAAACAUGAGCAGGAUGGGCUGGUCUCCCUGUGAAGGCUGUUGCAGACUACUGUGAGAGAAUCACAGAUGGUGCAGUAAAUUAGAGUCUGUAUUCAUGCUUCCUAUAUUUUCCACAAUGUAUUCUUCCAGCGAGAAACAUAAUUUUUCAGGAUAAAUAAAAUUUCUGAAUCAGAUUUUUAAUCUGCAUCACGUGUAAUGCCAUGUGCAGCCUGUUACUUGGACAGUAUUAUCUUACCCACACCACCAAGAAGCACAUGCAUGCUUCCAUCAUGCCCUGAAGUUGUGAGAGGUGAAGGGGGAGACACUUGGCUGCCAGGGUGGAUGCGGAGAAGCUGUCCCCUGAGCAUCACCUUGCAGCUGCCACUGAAACGUAAACUUUAAGGAAUUUAGAGAUUUUAGAGGAGCUAAGAUUUUAGUUAGAAAUAAGCCUUACUAGAGUUAAUUAAAAUAAUAAUAAUAAUAAAUGAGUAGGCCUUGAUGAAGUUAGGUGUCGCUAUAGGACACGAGAAAGCACAACGCGAGCCACCUGCCACCUUGCAAGGCAAAAGAGAAAGUUUAUUUUCUGACUCCAACUUUUAUACUUCUCCAAAGGUGACAGUGGAUUGGAGAGUGAAUGGGCCACCUCUCCAAAGACAUUGGACAAAGCACUAGUACAUCAAGUCUCUCCACCCCCAUGGAGGAAUGCAAAACAACACGUUAUUUACAGAAACUGUGUGGGAAAGUUUCCCAAUAGAAUGUAAACUCAGAAGGCUUUAGAAAACUCAAGAAUCAGGGCGACAUCUCACCCUUUUUAGUUUAAAAGAAAAGGAAAAAUGAAUAAGGUUCAGUGUCUGUUCAUGGAGGAAUCAUCAGAGUGAUCACCCACUGUCAUCUUCAACUGAGUCAUCACUUGAUGAUCCAUCCAUUUGAUGACUUUCAGUUUGGUCACGGCUUCUAUGUUGCUCGUUUGUCGGAUUCUGUCUCUGCGGUUGCAGAUCAGGACGAACACACCUUGAAGGUACCCAGUGUACCCCAGUAUCUGUGGAUACACAAGCAUACCCGCGCCCGGAAGAGAUAAGGUCAUAGGGACCUUCCCAUUGUUUAGUGACUAAAUUCCGCACUCAAACUUUUGCUCGAGGCUGAUGUGCCUCGUCUGCUGCCUGCAAUGAGAGAUGAUGAUUUAAAAAGACAGGGUUAUUUGAAUUCUGCUGCACUGUAAGAUGAUUGAUGGUGUACAAUGCUUUCUCCAACCGACUGUGCGGGGUCUCACCCUGCAUUCCCCGUUUUUGUUUUUGAAGAACGCGCUUCAGAGUACCAUGAGCGCGUUCUACAAUAGCUUGGCCGGUUGGAGAAUGGGGGAUACCAAACUUGUGUGACACACCCCACAACUGCAGGAACUGCCACACCUGCUGUGAUGCGUGAGCAGGACCAUUGUCGGUUUUCACAGCAGAAGGUAUGCCCAGAAUGGCAAAGGCCUGCCUCCAGUGGGCAAUGACAUCACGAGCCUUUUCUCCAGUGUGAGCGGAAGCCCACAUCGCAGAGGAGAACGUGUCCACCGUGACAUGCACAUACUUGAGCCGGCCAAACUCGGCAAUCUGGGUGACAGGAGUUAGUAGUUAACUAAUAAUUGAUUGCUUGUCAGCACAAUGUUUAGUUAGCUGGGUUUAUAAUAAAGAAUAUA